rnacentral:rRNA from 1 species
CCUACGGGAGGCAGCAGUGGGGAAUUUUGGACAAUGGGGGCAACCCUGAUCCAGCCAUUCCGCGUGAGUGAAGAAGGCCUUCGGGUUGUAAAGCUCUUUCGCAAGAGAAGAAAACUUGCUAUCUAAUAAAUAGUAAGCAUGACGGUAUCUUGACAAGAAGCACCGGCUAACUACGUGCCAGCAGCCGCGGUAAUACGUAGGGUGCAAGCGUUAAUCGGAAUUACUGGGCGUAAAGCGUGCGCAGGCAGUUUUAUAAGUCAGAUGUGAAAUCCCCGAGCUCAACUUGGGAACUGCGUUUGAAACUGUAAGACUAGAGUGUGUCAGAGGGGGGUAGAAUUCCAAGUGUAGCAGUGAAAUGCGUAGAGAUUUGGAGGAAUACCAAUGGCGAAGGCAGCCCCCUGGGAUAACACUGACGCUCAUGCACGAAAGCGUGGGGAGCA